GCGCAGAUGCCUCCUGGCUCGCCGUCGUCGCCCACAGACCCCACCUCUUCCAAGGUGGUUCCUCCGCCUAGUUACUGUAGUCAUGGCUCCCCUGCCAUCAUUCUCUCCUUCCUCUAUUGUCUCCUUCCUCCAGACAGAGAGGCGGCACUGGUACAGGUGCUACCGGGCGAGGUGGAGCCUAAUCGCAUCCCAUGGAGGACCACCCUCCAAUGGAUCCAGGACGUGAGGCACCAAAUCAAUGGAGGUAAGUGGCGUCGGAUCUGGCAGUUUCCAUGUCGUCCCCCCAUCUCCUGGCUCGCCGCUGUCGAUCCCCCAAAUUUUCCAGGGUCGUUUCUCCGCCUAGCAACCACAGCCACGACUCCCCUGACAUCAUUCUCUCCCUCCUCUGUUGUCUUCGUUUCCCUUCUCUGCUGCUGGGAGAGAGAGGUGGCACAGCCGCGCAGGUGGUACCAGCGAGGUGGAGCCCGGUCGCAUCCCAUGGAGGACAACCUUCCAAUUGAUCCAGGGCGUGAGGCACCAAUUCAGUGGAGAGAGCGUGUCUACUUCUUGAUUGGGUUGUUUCCUUUACUGAGGGUCUAGAGAACUUGGUUGCAUAUGCUAGAAUGCUACAUGGUAUCUGUGCUCACUAAUAGUCCAAGGUUUUCUUAGAAAAACAAGAAUCGUGACUGCAAUGGCAAAUGGAAGGUGAAGGCCCUUUUGAUUGACAACUUAGGAAAAGAUGGAAUGGAACUCAAAUUUUGAUGGUCGGUCAAGUGUGUAGACUUGAAAUCAUAUAUACCUAGUUAGGCUCAACUUUAGCGCAAACUGUUGGUGACCAUGUUUUUUAGUUAGUAUUUUAGUUUGGAUUUAGAGUACACUUAUGUAUGAGUUAUUUAGCAAUGCUUAUUUAUGAGAUAUUGAAUGAUACUUAUCUACAUUAUAUUAACUAUAAUGUUAUUAAAUAUAUGUGUGUAUGUAUAUUA